rnacentral:rRNA from 1 species
UUCGAUGAUACGCGAGGAACCUUACCUGGCUUAAAUGUAGAGUGCAUUUUUAGAGUAUAGAAAUUCCCUUCGGGGCUUUCUGCAAGGUGCUGCAUGGUUGUCGUCAGCUCGUGCCGUGAGGUGUCGGGUUAAGUCCCAUAACGAGCGCAACCCUUAUCGUUAGUUGCCAUCUGGUAAUGCAGGGGACUCUAGCGAAACUGCCACCGUAAGGUGAGAGGAAGGUGGGAUGACGUCAAUCAGCACGGCCCUUAUGUCCAGGGCUACACACGUGUUACAAUGGUCGGUACAGAGGGCAGCUACCUGGUGACAGGAUGCUAAUCUCGAAAACCGGUACUCAGUUCGGAUCGAAGUCUGCAACUCGACUUCGUGAAGCUGGAUUCGCUAGUAAUCGCGCAUCAGCUAUGGCGCGGUGAAUACGUUCCCGGGCCUU